CAUCAUUUUCAUGUGUUAUAUUAUUGUUACUAUCACUCGAGGUUAAGUUAAUGUCUUGUUCUGCCCAAUCAUCAAUUUCAACCUUAAAGUUUUUCACUAUAUUUCUGGUAGCUAUGGUUCCAUUGCAAAGUAAAUUACCAUGUAUGAAGUCCAGAGUACAGAUCAUAGAUAUUACUGAGCAAAGAAUCAUAGUAGUAGUUUUAGGAUUAAUUGAUUGGAAAGCCACAGGGUCAAUAACAAGGACAAGUCUACAGUAUAUUCUUCUGUGAAGGGGGCCGAGUCCACAGAAAAUGAAGAAGAAAAACAGCAGCUAUCCCUGACACCAGAAAUCCCAGGCAGUCAAUUAUCAAGGUGUACAAAUUUGGCAUUGGUGGUACAAUCACCAUUAAACUUGAAUACAACACCAAGACAAAACUCUUAAUAAUAAUUUUACAAUCCAUUUUAUA